rnacentral:tRNA from 1 species
AAUAAGGUGCCUGAUAAAAGGGUUACUUUGAUAGAGUAAACCAUGUAAGAUAU